GUGUUGCAUGGCUGUCGUCAGCUCCGUGUCGUGAGAUGUUGGGGUUAAGUCCCGCAACGAGCGCAACCCUCAUCCUUAGUUACCAUCAGGUAAUGCUGGGGACUUUAAGGAAACUGCUAGUGAUAAACUGGAGGAAGGUGGGGAUGAUGUCAAGUCAUCAUGGCCCUUAUGGAGUGGGCUACACACGUGCUACAAUGGUGGCUACAAUGGGCUGCAAAGUCGCGAGGCUAAGCCAAUCCCUUAAAAGCCAUCUCAAUUCAGAUUGUACUCUGCAACUCGAGUGCAUGAAGCUGGAAUCGCUAGUAAUCGUGGAUCAGCAUGCCACGGUGAAUACGUUCUCGGGUCUUGUACACACUGCCCGUCACGCCAUGGGAAUUGGU
rnacentral:rRNA from 1 species